UACGAAGGGGGCUAGCGUUGUUCGGAAUUACUGGGCGUAAAGCGCACGUAGGCGGAUUGUUAAGUCAGAGGUGAAAUCCCGGAGCUCAACUUCGGAACUGCCUCUGAUACUGGCAAUCUAGAGUCCGGAAGAGGUUAGUGGAAUUCCCAGUGUAGAGGUGAAAUUCGUAGAUAUUGGGAAGAACACCAGUGGCGAAGGCGGCUAACUGGUCCGGUACUGACGCUGAGGUGCGAAAGCGUGGGGAGCAAACAGG
rnacentral:rRNA from 1 species